rnacentral:rRNA from 1 species
UACGUAGGCAGCGAGCGUUGUUCGGAAUUACUGGGCGUAAAGAGUGUGUAGGCGGUGCUCUAAGUUCGGUGUGAAAUCUCCCGGCUCAACUGGGAGGGUGCGCCGAAUACUGAAUGACUAGAGUGCGGGAGAGGAAAGUGGAAUUCCUGGUGUAGCGGUGAAAUGCGUAGAUAUCAGGAGGAACCCCGGUGGUGUAGACGGCUUUCUGGACCGUAACUGACGCUGAGACACGAAAGCGUGGGUAGCAAACAGG